UACAGGGAGAUUUAUGGCCCCAGAUAGUUCUGUGCACAUUUCUAAUAAACAUGUGUCCAGUAGGAGAUGUAUGUCUGCAUGCUAAACUUCCCCAAAGAUUGGGGCUGCUCACAUCUGGGGGUUUGGUUUUGAUCCACAUCUAGCUGUUCUAGGGCUGCCAAGGGGAGUUGUAUGGGAAGCAGGGAGGGUUUGUGGCUACUGGCAAGCAGGACGAGUCAGAACUGCUACCUACAAUGACUCCAUUGCCCUCAGACCAAAUGCAGCAGGGAGUGAGUGAUACAGAGCAGUAGUGGGAGGUUGGGCUUCCUGAUUCAAUUCAGCAGAGGCAGUAAGCAGAUCACUACAACAAAAAUUCAGAGGGUUAAACAAAAUCAGGUGAAAUACUGACAGCAUUCUCGUACCCAUUCCAACAGAACUUCCAGAGCAAGUCACUAGAAUGAAAUACAAAGAAGAGGCA